UACAGAGGUCCCAAGCGUUGUUCGGAUUCACUGGGCGUAAAGGGUGCGUAGGCGGUUGGGUAAGUCUGAUGUGAAAUCUCACAGCUUAACUGUGAAACUGCAUUGGAUACUAUCCGGCUAGAGGAAUGGGGGGGAGACUGGAAUACUUGGUGUAGCAGUGAAAUGCGUAGAUAUCAAGUGGAACACCAGUGGCGAAGGCGAGUCUCUGGACAUUUCCUGACGCUGAGGCACGAAAGCCAGGGGAGCAAACGGG
rnacentral:rRNA from 1 species